AUGUGCUUGUUUGGUCAUGUGUUCUGUGUUUGCUGUAAUGAAAUGUGACUUAGUUCGCGUGCGCGUAAAUGCCACAGACAGCUUGUGUCUCGCUGCAAACUCGCCGUAUGAGAGGCGCGCCAGCCAAAUGUGGGCCAACGAUGUUCGUGCGGCGGGUGGUGAAACCGUGACCCCCUACAGUGUCCACAUAACCCGUGGCCAUGGCUGCGGCAGCACGGCGUGUAAUCUGGAUGGACAUGUCAGGGUACACGUGCACUCCAAGACGACGAUCCUCCACCCCAAGAACAGCCUCUCCUCAAUGAUAAGUGGCGAGAUUAAUUGCAAGGAAAAUAUCACAUCAGUAACUAGACUGAUACUGUGUUUUGCUUUCCUUUAACCUCCUUCUGCAUGUAACGAAGCAUUCAUAUACCCAAUAAAU